rnacentral:rRNA from 1 species
CCUACGGGAGGCAGCAGUGGGGAAUAUUGGGCAAUGGACGCAAGUCUGACCCAGCAACGCCGCGUGAGGGAAGAAGGUACAGCGUAUCGUAAACCUCUUUUGUCAGGGAACAAAGGCGGGGACUAGUCCCCGGAUGAGGGUACCUGAAGAAAAAGCAUCGGCUAACUCCGUGCCAGCAGCCGCGGUAAUACGGGGGAUGCGAGCGUUAUCCGGAUUUAUGGGGUUUAAAGGGUGCGCAGGCGGCCUGUUAAGGUAGCGGUAAAAUCACGGGGCUCAACCCCGGCGAGCCGUUGAAACUGGUGGGCUGGAGUUGGAGAGAAGUACGCGGAAUGCGCGGUGUAGCGGUGAAAUGCUUAGAUAUCGCGCAGAACCCCGAUAGCGAAGGCAGCGUACCGGCUCCACACUGACGCUGAGGCACGAAAGCGUGGGUAUCGAACAGGAUUAGAUACCCCUGUAGUC